GUCCUUUAUGAAGUGGUCGCAGUAGUUUUCGUUGCCCAAAUCAACCACAUCGAUCUGGACUUGAACAAGUUGAUUAUCAUCGCAGACCGCUGCAACACAGUUAUAAAUGUCAUGGGAGACUGCAUAGGCGUGGCACUUAUUCAACAAUUGUCAAAAGGAGAUCUGGAAGACAUCGAGGAGCAGGAACAGGAAAUGGAAAGGAUGCAUGGCAGUGAUGCUUAAGCCCACAGUCAAGAUGAGAUCGAGGUCCAUUUCAGCCGCCAGGCCUCUGAUGAUGACACCCUCCACUGCCCGACAAAAAAACAAUCAUUCUAAUACAGUCAUGAGAGGAGCGCUGGCAGGACGAGGACCAGACCA